GACGACGCUGGCGGCGUGCCUAACACAUGCAAGUCGAGCGGGGUUGAAGCGAGAGGUAACUCGAACUUCUACCUAGCGGCGGACGGGUGAGUAACGCGUGGGCAACCUGCCUCAAGGUCUGGGAUAACAGCCCGAAAGGGCUGCUAAUACCGGGUAUGCUUGUGGCCUCGCAUGGGGCUAUGAGCAAAGGGGAAACCCGCCUUGAGAUGGGCCCGCGUCCCAUCAGCUAGUUGGUGAGGUAACAGCUCACCAAGGCGACGACGGGUAGCCGGCCUGAGAGGGUGACCGGCCACACUGGGACUGAGACACGGCCCAGACUCCUACGGGGGGCAGCAGUGGGGGAUCUUGCACAAUGGGCGAAAGCCUGAUGCAGCGACGCCGCGUGAGCGAAGAAGGCCUUCGGGUUGUAAAGCUCUGUCUGGAGGGACGAAGGAAGUGACGGUACCUCCGGAGGAAGCCACGGCUAACUACGUG
rnacentral:rRNA from 1 species